rnacentral:rRNA from 1 species
UACGAAGGGUGCAAACGUUGCUCGGAAUCAUUGGGCGUAAAGCGCACGUAGGCGGCUCCUCAAGUCGGAUGUGAAAGCCCUGGGCUCAACCCAGGAAGUGCAUUCAAAACUGUUUCGCUUGAAUCUCGGAGGGGGUCAGAGAAUUCCCGGUGUAGAGGUGAAAUUCGUAGAUAUCGGGAGGAAUACCAGUGGCGAAGGCGCUGACCUGGACGAAGAUUGACGCUGAGGUGCGAAAGCGUGGGGAGCAAACAGG